GAUGAAGAACGUAGCGAAAUGCGAUAAGUAAUGUGAAUUGCAGAAUUCAGUGAAUCAUCGAAUCUUUGAACGCACAUUGCGCCCCCUGGUAUUCCGGGGGGCAUGCCUGUUCGAGCGUCAUUUCACCACUCAAGCCUCGCUUGGUAUUGGGCAUCGCGGUCCGCCGCGCGCCUCAAAUCGACCGGCUGGGUCUUCUGUCCCCUAAGCGUUGUGGAAACUAUUCGCUAAAGGGUGUUCGGGAGGCUACGCCGUAAAACAACCCCAUUUCUAAGGUUGACCUCGGAUCAGGUAGGGAUACCCGCUGAACUUAAGCAUAUCAAUAAGCAGAGGA
rnacentral:misc_RNA from 1 species